GCUGAACUUUAGGGGCACCUCAGAAAGAAAAAGCUGCUGUGUGGGGUACCAUUGUAAUACUAAAUACAUACAUACCGUUGCUCAAACAAGCUGCACAACAGCAGCCACCCUCAGAGCUCCGUGUUGAAGAAAAUCCGCAAGCUCGUCGAAUAGGAGAGCUGUGCGCCAACCCCAUCCCUUAGGAGCUUUCGGUAGAAGAGUUCCUGUUUGUUUGAAGUUGCCAA
rnacentral:misc_RNA from 1 species